GACGUAGGGCGCGAGCGUUGUCCGGAUUUAUUGGGCGUAAAGAGCUCGUAGGCGGCUUUUCAAGUGGCGGGUGAAAUCCCUCGGCUUAACCGAGGAACUGCCUGCCAGACUGGAUUGCUUGAGUCCGGGAGAGGUGAGUGGAAUUCCCAGUGUAGCGGUGAAAUGCGUAGAUAUUGGGAGGAACACCAGUGGCGAAGGCGGCUCACUGGACCGGAACUGACGCUGAGGCGCGAAAGCGUGGGGAGCAAACAGG
rnacentral:rRNA from 1 species